rnacentral:rRNA from 1 species
CCUACGGGUGGCAGCAGUGAGGAAUAUUGGUCAAUGGCCGGAAGGCUGAACCAGCCAUGCCGCGUGAAGGUCAGUGCCCUAUGGGCGUUAAACUUCUUUUGUGCGGGAGCAAUAAUGGUCACGUGUGGCCAGACGAGAGUACCGUACGAAUAAGCAUCGGCUAACUACGUGCCAGCAGCCGCGGUAAUACGUAGGUGGCAAGCGUUAUCCGGAUUUACUGGGUGUAAAGGGCGUGUAGGCGGGAAAGCAAGUCAGAUGUGAAAACCAUGGGCUCAACCUGUGGCCUGCAUUUGAAACUGUUUUUCUUGAGUACUGGAGAGGCAGACGGAAUUCCUAGUGUAGCGGUGAAAUGCGUAGAUAUUAGGAGGAACACCAGUGGCGAAGGCGGUCUGCUGGACAGCAACUGACGCUGAGGCGCGAAAGCGUGGGGAGCAAACAGGAUUAGAUACCCCUGUAGUC